rnacentral:tRNA from 1 species
GCGGGAGUGCCCGAGCUGGUCGAAGGGGGCGGACUCAAGACCAGUUGAGCGAUCCGCUGGCGAAGGCCGUCCGGGGUUCAAAUCCCCGCUCCCGCA